AAUGAACGUUGGCGGCGUGGAUUAGGCAUGCAAGUCGAGCGUGUACCCCGCAAGGGGGAAAGCGGCGAAAGGGAGAGUAAUACGUGGGUACCUACCCUGGGGUCUGGGAUAGCUACGGGAAACUGUAGGUAAUACCGGAUGAUGUCCCCGGACCAAAGGUGUGAUUCCGCCCUAGGAGGGGCCCACGGCCUAUCAGCUUGUUGGGGAGGUAACGGCUCACCAAGGCAACGACGGGUACGGGGUGUGAGAGCAUGCCCCCGCUCACUGGGACUGAGACACUGCCCAGACACCUACGGGUGGCUGCAGUCGAGAAUCUUCGGCAAUGGGCGCAAGCCUGACCGAGCGACGCCGCGUGCGGGAUGAAGGCCCUCGGGUUGUAAACCGCUGUCAGUGGGGAGGAAAGGCACGGGGGUUCUCCCUCGUGUUUGACCUAUCCGCAGAGGAAGUACGGGCUAAGUUCGUGCCAGCCGCCGCAGUAAUAC
rnacentral:rRNA from 1 species